AUUGAACGCUAGCGGGAUGCCUUACACAUGCAAGUCGAACGGAGUGGCGAACGGGUGAGUAAUGUAUCGGAACGUGCCCAGUAGCGGGGGAUAACUACGCGAAAGCGUAGCUAAUACCUCAUACUAUUGGAGCGGCCGAUAUCGGAUUACCUAGUUGGUGGGGUAACGGCUCACCAAGGCGACGAUCCGUAGCUGGUUUGGGAGGACGACCAGCCACACUGGGACGUAGACACGGCCCAGUCUCCUACGGGAGGCAGCAGUGGGGAAUGUUGGACAAUGGGGGAAACCCGGAUCCAGCCAGCCCGCGUGUGCGAUGAAGGCCUUCGGGUUGUAAAGCACUUUUGUCAGGAAAGCGGUACCUGCAGAAUAAGCACCGGCUAACUACGUGCCAGCAGCCGCGGUAAUAC
rnacentral:rRNA from 1 species